rnacentral:tRNA from 1 species
GCCUUCGUGGUGUAGUGGUCAGCACGCUGGACGCGUAACUGGAAGGUCCGUGGUUCGAUUCCCGGCGAAGGCG